CCUGAAGGUCCAUAGGGCCACCCAAAGAUCUAUAGGUCCACCCAAAGAUCUAUAGGUCCACCCUGAAGGUCCACAGGUCUACCUGAAGGUCCACAGGGCCACCCUGAAGGUCCAUGGGACCACCUUGAAGGUCUCCCACACCAUCUGGAGGUCCACCAGACCACCCUGAAGGUCCACAGAAC